rnacentral:rRNA from 1 species
UGGAGUAUGUGGUUUAAUUCGAUGCAACGCGAAGAACCUUACCUGGUCUUGACAUCCCGGAGACCCUUAGGAACUAGGGGUGCUUCCAUCUGGAAGAAUCUGGAGACAGGUGCUGCAUGGCUGUCGUCAGCUCGUGUCGUGAGAUGUUGGGUUAAGUCCCGCAACGAGCGCAACCCUUGCCUUUAGUUGCCAGCAGUUCGGCUGGGCACUCUAAAGGGACUGCCGGUGUUAAACCGGAGGAAGUGGGGAUGACGUCAAGUCCUCAUGGCCUUUAUGACCAGGGCUACACACGUACUACAAUGGCCGAUACAAAGGGCAGCGACACUGCGAGGUGAAGCCAAUCCCGUAAAAUCGGUCUCAGUCCGGAUUGGAGUCUGCAACUCGACUCCAUGAAGUUGGAAUCGCUAGUAAUCGUGGAUCAGCAUGCCACGGUGAAUACGUUCCCGGGCCUU